GCAAUAUAGUUAUAAAAAUAAGACCCGAAACCGAGUGAUCUAACCAUGAACAGAUUGAAAAAUAGGUAAAACUAUUUGGAGGAUCGAACUCACAUGUGUGGCAAAACAUGGAGAUGAUUUGUGGUUAGGAGUGAAAGGCUAAUCAAACUCGGAGAUAGCUGGUUUUCCGCGAAAUCUAUUGAAGUAGAGCAUUUAAAAUCUUUUUUUGGGGUAGUAGCACUCAUUGAGCUAGGGGGCGUAAAAACUUACUGAACUCUUAGAAACUCCGAAUACAAAAAAAAGUUAUUUAAAUAGACAGACAUUAGGCGCUAAGGUCUAUUGUCAAGAGGGAAACAGCCCAGAUUGAUCGCUAAGGUCUCUAAAUAAUAUUCUAAGUGAAAAAGGAAGUGAAAAAAUAAUUACAACCAGUAGGUAGGCUUGGAAGCAGCCAUCCUUUAAAGAAAGCGUAAUAGCUCAUUGGUCUAGUUUUUUUGCGCCUAAAAUGUAUCGAGACUUAAGAAAUUUACCGAAGCGGCAAGUUUUAUUUAUAAUAAAACGGUAGCGGAACAUUCUGUAUGUUGAUAAAGAUAUGUUGUAAAAUAUAUUGAAGAUAUCAGAAAAGAAAAUGCUGGCAUUAGUAACAAAAAAUAAUGAAUAAGAAUCAUUAUCACCGUAAAUCCAAGGGUUUCUAUGUUAAAAUGUAUUUCAUAGAGUGAAACGGCCCCUAAGAAAGAUUUGACGAAAGCAAAUUUUGAUGGGAUAAUUUUUAAAUUAAAUUUUUUAAAAAAAGUGACAAAAAGUUUUACUUUUUCAGGAAAUAGCUUUUUUUAAAAAAAACCGUACCCUAAACCGACACAGGUGGAUAGGUCGAGUAGACUAAGGUGGAUGAGAGAAUUAUAUUGAAGGAACUCGGCAAAAUGACUCUGUAACUUCGGGAUAAAGAGUACCUAAAUAUUAUAUUUAGGUGUCACAAAAUAGGGGGUUGCGACUGUUUAAUAAAAACUUAGGACUCUGCUAAAUGGUAACAUGAUGUAUAGGGUCUGACACCUGCUGAGACACGCAACAGGGGAUAGGCAAGGCACAC
rnacentral:ncRNA from 1 species